UCGCUGUUGGUGUCAGUCAGUCAGUUUCAGCCAUCAAAAAAUCCAGAUUAGUCGCGAGUUUGUAAUAAUUUUCCUCAAGGUUUUUUACUCUCCUCUUGUACCACAUCAAAAGCUGCGGCUGCUGCUGCUCCCAACUGAACCGAUCAUACCGAGUGUGUGGGGAGUGUGUGUAAUUUGCAUCCGCCAGGGGCGUGAAAACGAAAAUUUGUUUCUGCUGCUGCUGCUGAAAAAGGAGCUGUCAACAGGGUGAAAGGACGACCCCAGUGCCGUACACAAAAUGCAGGCCAUCAAGUGCGUCGUGGUCGGGGACGGUGCCGUCGGUAAGACGUGCCUGCUGAUCAGCUACACCACCAAUGCGUUCCCGGGCGAGUACAUUCCGACCGUGUUCGACAACUACUCGGCGAACGUGAUGGUCGACGGCAAGCCGAUCAACCUGGGCCUGUGGGAUACGGCCGGGCAGGAAGAUUACGACAGGUUGCGACCGCUGUCGUACCCGCAGACGGACGUGUUCUUGAUAUGCUUUUCGCUCGUCAAUCCGGCCUCGUUCGAGAACGUCCGGGCCAAGUGGUACCCGGAGGUGCGCCAUCACUGUCCCAACAUACCGAUCAUACUGGUCGGGACGAAGCUGGACUUGCGGGACGACAAGAACACGGUGGACAAGCUGCGCGACAAGAAGCUGUCGCCGAUCACGUACCCCCAGGGACUGGCCAUGGCCAAGGAGAUCGGGGCGGUCAAGUAUCUGGAGUGUUCGGCGCUGACCCAGAAGGGCCUCAAGACCGUGUUUGACGAAGCGAUCCGGGCCGUCCUGUGCCCGAUCAUACCGGUGAAAAACAAACGUAAAUGUUCCAUUCUGUAAGCAUGCAUGCUUGUGUUGUGUCCCGAACACCUACUUCCCACCCCCGCCCCGAACACCCCCCUCCCCCUAAAAUCCUUUUUUAAAGAAAGUCCUUCUUGAGGACGUGAACAAAAGCAAACAAAAAAAGCAGUCCCUCUUAGAGCCAAUCACACAAUCAGUAAGAGCAGAGAGCAACAAGCCAACCGUUUUUCGCGACAUCCAGCCCCGUCGAAGGGGUUUUGGGGGAGGUGGUUCAAUCCUUCCUCCCCCGCCCCCCCUUCUCAAAAGGGGGAGGAUGUUUUUUGUCCAAGCAAAAGUGUGCGUGAAGAACAAGAAGAAAACCGUCGAGUCGCCGUCAUCAGCUCGCCGGAGAAAGACCGGCGAAGAUCCACCCUCACACGGACAGCGGAGCAGCGCGCAUCGCACCGCGAAAACGAGGUUGAUUAAAUGGAAAGAUUCACCGUUAUUCAAUGGCACACAAACAGACCAAAACCACACAAAGCAGCAAAAAAACGUGAAAUUUAAAAAGAAGGGAUUUGCACAGUUACUACUACCACACACAACCCCCACAAAAUACUACGAAAAAAAAGCUCUUCCCCCUUCCCCCAAAGUGGUAACCACUUCCCAAGCGCUGAAUGGUUCGCACCAGGAUGCGCGUCCACCAAAUUGUGUUACAAAAGGAUCGUCCUGGUGCGAGUAUCAAUUGUCAAUCGUCGUCGUUUACGUAACCACACUUGAAUGGUUGUCCCCAAAAACAAAAACAAAACAAAUAGAAUUGUGUAGAUUUACCCUCCCUUCCCCGAGUUUACAACAAUUAGAAGAAACGCCGUACGGCGAUCGCGACGUACGCGGAGCAAAUCAAAAUACAACAACCGGAAACCUAAGCCGAGAAAGCGAUUAAGAUUUUCUUCUUUUUUUGCGGAUGGUGAGAUGAGGCGGAAAAUUUAAUGGUAAAACAAGAACAAGAGAUAGAGUUUAUUCUGUUUUCUUUAUGUGCUUUUGAAAAAAGUCUAGAUUUAGUUUGUAACUUUAUUAUUAUUUUUAUAUACGUGCAGAAAAUAUAUAAAAGUAAAGAAUCGUGCAAAACCAGCGAAAGUGGAAAUGAUUUAGUUUUUUCGAAACGAAAAAAGCAAACAAAUAAAAGCCAAGCGAUUGUGGGAAGGAGAAGUAAAAACCCUGUCUUGUCUAGUGUAAAGUGAUUUUCGUUUCUACAGCUAAUCCCGAUUAAUCAAAGAGUUUGUAAGAUGAGGCAGAGUUAGGACUAACGCGCUUAGCAGCAUUAAAACCGCGAUCGAAGCAGAUUUAAUUUACAUUUACACAAACACACACGAGCACUUCCCGAGAAGCGUUAUAAAAGAAAAACCAACAAAAAAUAGCAUGUACGUUUACUACCGUAAAACAAAUAAUUAUUGAUUGAAUGUUGUAACUUGAGAUUUUUCUUUCUGUUUAACCACAAAACUAGGCAUUGUUGAGUUCUGAAACGGCGCAGAUUUUAACCACCUUUUUGAGGAGAGCGCGCGUCUACGUUCUGCACGAAACUGCAACACAAAGUAUGACACAAAGAAAAAGAACAAAAAACCAACCUACACACACACAGACACAUUUAAAACGAAACGAAAGGAUUGAACGCUUUUUCCGUUUUUUAUUAUUGUCUAAAUUUUUGCAAGCGUAACCAAAUCUAAUUCGGCUCUUAGAUGUUUUAACAGACGCAGAACAAGUAAAACAAAAAAAAACAAAAAGAAA